UGAGUUUGCAAGAGUGUGACAAAAAAGUUACUUCGACAAUGUCCUUACAUAUUCUCAAGGAGAAAAAGACAUGAUUUUCCUCAAUUAUGAUCAUGUUUCAAUAUGUAUCUGUCUUUUGAUCCAUCUGCAACUUUCAGGUGCAGUUGCAGAUACAGUGCAACAAAAUUGUUUGAUUGGCGAGCCUAUUACUCUUGACUGUCCCUUCGAGGUCCCCAGUGGUACUCGGCUCGAAGACGUCAAUGUAUUGUGGCAGUUUGAGGGGAAGGUCAGCAGAGACCUGCUGGAGAAAAUCAAAGUGUUUGAAUUCAAGGAUGGAAAUAUAACUCCGCACUUACCAAGAUAUGAUGUGAACUUGAAUGAAUUACCAAAGGGAAAGGCCUCUCUGCAUUUGACAAAUCCAGGUGUGACUGAUGAUGGUAACUUCACCUGUAACGUUGUAGGGAGACUAGAUAUUGACCACAAGACCACAGUCACCCUUAAAGUGUCAGCUCGACCCUCUCUGUUGCUAACAAAACAUGCCACGGUGCUCGAUGGACAGAAGACGACCUUGUCCUGUAAAAUCACAGGUUUCUAUCCUGAGCGCCUGGAGGUCCGGUGGCUGAGGCAGCUUGGCCACAAGAAUGAAUCUGUGGAGGUGGACGUGUGCACUGAAUCUCGUAGGCGCAACCCAGACCUCACCUACAGCCAGGAGAGUCAUAUGACCAUUCAGGGAAACAAGACUGAAAACCACGGGGCUGUUUACAUCUGUCAGAUCAAGCACAGAUCCUUCAACACGCUUCAAAACAAAACUGUCCAACUGAGUGUUGUUGAGAUGCCUCAUAACCCAGUUGUACUCAUAGCUGUAACAGUGGCGUCCAGUAUCUUCCUAGUGUUUGUAACCUUAGGAGCAGCUGUGAUUGGGUACUUAUACCUUCACACAGUGCCACCCAGCAUAUCUGACAUCAACACUCCCUCUGUCAUCUAUGCCAACACUCGUGCAGACAUCAAAUGCACGAUCAGACGAGUGAAACCCAAGUAUGCAGAGGUGCAGUGGUACAGGAUGCUCCCCUUUGGUCCAUGGGUCUCCGAAGAGUCCCUGGAGAGCCAGGCCCUGUGUAGAAAGGCACCAUCUUUGGAGGACCUAACCAAACAGUCACAGCUCCACUCGGACGACACACACCUGGUGUCUGUCCUCUCCCUCUGCCCAACAGUGAGCAAUGAUGGAGACAGGUACAGGUGUGUGGUGACCUACAAAGGUCAGACCUACACCAGAGAGAUGACGCUCAGUGUUAAAACCCAGCCAUCCUUCCUGCAAAUCUCCAGCGCACCCCAGAUCCCGGUGCUGGGACAGCGGCUGCUACUGUGCUGCCGCGUGGAGCGCUUCUACCCGGCCCAGGUGCAGCUGCAGUGGUGGGGCCCCGGCGGAGAGCUGCUCCUGGGGCCCGUGGUCCAGUACGGCCCCUUCCCCGACUACCAGGGGCUGCACAGCGUGUGGAGCACCACGGAGCUGACCGUCACCGCCAUGGAGGAGGGGCUAGUUUACACGUGUCGUGCGUACCACAGCAGCUUCCCUGAGCCAGGCUACCAGGACCUGACCUACCGCGUUAACCUGAAAGGCACGCCCCCAACAUUGAAGUUCAUCAAGUGUGACCCCGCCCAGCCUCAGGUGGGUCAGGAGUGCACCCUGAGCCUCUGUGUGGAGGCCUUCAGCCCCGACGCACUCUCAGUCUCCUGGUUACGGAAUGGAGAGCCCGUGCCCGCCGGCGUCUUCAACUCCCCGGUCAGCCUGAACCCCAGCGGCCUUUUCUCCCAGUGGGCCUUCCUGAGGCUGGUGCCCACUACACAGGACCUGGGCGCAGUCUACCUGUGCCAGGUGAGGCACAGUGCCCUGGAGCAGCCAGAGGAGAGGAGCUACACCUUCUCUAACAUGACACUCGAGUAACAGCUCCUCCCUUACAGACAUGGCAGGGUGUUGUAAAUAAUGGUGUCAGGGAGCCUCACACACAUUGGCCAGAUUUCUACUCAGAUAUACAGGUAUUGUAUGGAUGUGUUUAAUGGUUCCUUGACUGAUGUAGCCUAUAUAGUAUUCUUAUUGUAUAGUAUUGUAUUGAGAAUUGAGAAUGACUAUGUCUGACUAGGCUACAAAUGUACAGUUAUUUUAGGACUGCAUAAGCAUGGUGACUUGACUUUGAUCAUUUGGCUCUAGUCAGUGAUGCACACUCAACUGCUGAUCACUACAGUUGCAGUCCAGUUGUUGUUCAGUUACAGUAGUUCAUAUGGUAGUAUUGAAGGGAUGUAUUAUCUAGCACAUCAGACAUCAGAAUGGUUGAUAACACACGACCUGACACAUGAUUUUGUGAAUUUUGAUGAAAUGUACAGGUAUUCUUUUCUUUUCUUCACAUGAUAUUUUAACAUUUGUAACCAGCACCCACUGUUACACGAGCAGACAGGAACAUGAGUAGAGCAGAUUUGUUUGAACCUUCUCAUUUAUUUCCUUCACACAUUCAUUCAUCUUUAUAGUCAUUCUAUAUUGAUUGAUAUAAAUGAGACCUCUUCAGGACUUCCCUGCAUGUAUAAUUUACUGAGCAAUUAUACCUGGCACAGUGGAUUGUUUCACUCAUUCAGUACAGUGAUCAUUUAUAAUUUACAACAAAACAUUGAGGCUUCCUAUAACUUUCUUGCUAACUCAGCAAAAAGACAAAUAUGUCAUGAUGUGCACAAAUGACUAG